AUUGAACGCUGGCGGCAGGCCUAACACAUGCAAGUCGAGCGGAUGAAGGGAGCUUGCUCCUGGAUUCAGCGGCGGACGGGUGAGUAAUGCCUAGGAAUCUGCCUGGUAGUGGGGGAUAACGUCCGGAAACGGGCGCUAAUACCGCAUACGUCCUGAGGGAGAAAGUGGGGGAUCUUCGGACCUCACGCCAGCAGAUGAGCCUAGGUCGGAUUAGCUAGUUGGUGGGGUAAAGGCCUACCAAGGCGACGAUCCGUAACUGGUCUGAGAGGAUGAUCAGUCACACUGGAACGGAGACACGGUCCAGACUCCUACGGGAGGCAGCAGUGGGGAAUGUUGGACAAUGGGCGAAAGCCUGAUCCAGCCAUGCCGCGUGUGUGAAGAAGGUCUUCGGAUUGUAAAGCACUUUAAGUUGGGAGGAAGGGCAGUAAGUUAAUACCUUGCUGUUUUGACGUUACCAACAGAAUAAGCACCGGCUAACUUCGUG
rnacentral:rRNA from 1 species